AUUGAACGCUGGCGGCAGGCUUAACACAUGCAAGUCGAGCGGGGAAGGGUAGCUUGCUACCUAACCUAGCGGCGGACGGGUGAGUAAUGCUUAGGAAUCUGCCAUUUAGUGGGGGACAACAUUCCGAAAGGAAUGCUAAUACCGCAUACGUCCUACGGGAGAAAGCAGAGGAUCUUCGGACCUUGCGCUAAAUGAUGAGCCUAAGUCGGAUUAGCUAGUUGGUGGGGUAAAGGCCUACCAAGGCGACGAUCUGUAGCGGGUCUGGGAGGAUGAUCCGCCACACUGGGACUGAGAAACGGCACGGAUUCCAACAGGAGGCAGCAGUGGGGAAUAUUUGACAAUGGGGGGAACCCUGAUCCAGCCAUGCCGCGUGUGUGAAGAAGGCCUUAUGGUUGUAAAGCACUUUAAGCGAGGAGGAGGCUGCUGAGACUAAUACUCUUGGAUAGUGGACGUUACUCGCAGAAUAAGCACCGGCUAACUCUGUGCCAGCCGCCGCCGUAACAC
rnacentral:rRNA from 1 species